rnacentral:lncRNA from 1 species
UUCCUCUUUAUCACUAUUUUUAUCACAUUUUUGUUUUAUUACAGGAACUAUUAACUGCCAACUAUUAAGCCCUAAACAUGGAGACACUCUGACCCUUAGUUCUGGUCACUGAUGCUCCAGGACAAACUGUCUCACAGAAAGAGGGCUCUGAUCACAAGAGGUGCAAGCUAAGGAACAGCCCAGAAUCUAAAAGGGACGCAGUUGGCAGAGCCGUGUGGCGCGGUGCUGGUUCCCAGGAACACAACGAGAGACACUUUACCGAGGGAACGCCAAGUGCCUCCAACUCUGCGUGGGAAACUUCAGCCACAAGUAGGUUUUUCUCAGCGUGUAAGUGCCACUGAGCAAACCCAAGAAGGGAACAAACAAACCAGCUCUGAAUCUUUCUCGUGGAUCCUCAGCUUCGCUCCGUUAUACAUAGGAAAUGAGGGACCAUGCGUGGAGAACCCGCAGGAAAACUAAUCUGAAAAGUCAGUCCAUUUGUGAGUGGGAAUUGCUUGGAAUUGGGGCUUGGUAAAUAGGCCAGCUGGAAUUUCUCUUUAAAAGAUGGGCACGCUUGUAGCUCUGAUUCAGGCGGAGCAAAGGCAGUUUAUGUAACCAAAGUGUUUGUACCCCUGUAAUACUCUGAAAUAAAAAAAAUAAAAUGUAAAAAAAAAUAGAAAAGAAGUCAGGGGUGAAGCAGGGCAAUAUUAGAACAUCAGACUUGGUCUCUUGGGCUCCUCCUGCCUUAUCCUAUAUCAUGC